GACGAACGCCGGCGGCGUGCUUAACACAUGCAAGUCGAACGGGAUAAUUUGAGAGCUUGCUCUUAGAGAAUCUAGUGGCAAACGGGUGAGUAACACGUAGACAACCUGCCGACAGGAUGGGGACAACAUUCCGAAAGGAAUGCUAAUACCGAAUGAAGCGGAGGAGAGGCAUCUCUCCUCCGUGAAAGAUGGCCUCUGAAUAUGCUAUCACCUGUCGAUGGGUCUGCGUCUGAUUAGCUAGUUGGUGAGGUAACGGCUCACCAAGGCGACGAUCAGUAGCCGGUCUGAGAGGAUGAACGGCCACAUUGGGACUGAGACACGGCCCAGACUCCUACGGGAGGCAGCAGUGGGGAAUCUUCCGCAAUGGGGGCAAGCCUGACGGAGCAACGCCGCGUGAGUGAAGAAGGUCUUCGGAUCGUAAAGCUCUGUUGACGGGGACGAACGUGCGAAGGGUGAAUAAUCCUUUGUAAUGACGGUACCUGUCGAGGAAGCCACGGCUAACUACGUG
rnacentral:rRNA from 1 species